rnacentral:rRNA from 1 species
AGAUUAAGCCAUGCAUGUCUCAGUGCAANCCGUCUAGUACGGUGAAGCCGCGAAAGGCUCAUUAAAUCAGUUAUGGUUCCUUAGAUCGUACCCACGUUACUUGGAUAACUGYGGUAAUUCUAGAGCUAAUACAUGCCGACAGAGUUCCGACCAACUGUUCGGCUCUCACGYUGAAUGGUUCGGAAGGAACGCUUUUAUUAGAUCAAAACCGGCCAAACGRCGGANUNACGYNUCGCGCGUGNUUCCGUCGUUAGCGGCCCGCGCAAAGACUUGGUGACUCUGAAUAACUUCGAGCUGAUCGCACGGUCUUCGUACCGGCGACGUAUCUUUCAAAUGUCUGCCUUAUCAACUGUCGACGGUAGGUUCGACGCCUACCGUGGUGGUAACGGGUAACGGGGAAUCAGGGUUCGAUUCCGGAGAGGGAGCCUGAGAAACGGCUACCACAUCCAAGGAAGGCAGCAGGCGCGCAAAUUACCCACUCCCAGCUCGGGGAGGUAGUGACGAAAAAUAACGAUACGGGACUCAUUCGAGGCCCCGUAAUCGGAAUGAGUACACUUUAAAACCUUGGUCACACGAGGAUCAAU